rnacentral:rRNA from 1 species
CCUACGGGUGACAGCAGUAGGGAAUAUUGCUCAAUGGGGGAAACCCUGAAGCAGCAACGCCGCGUGGAGGAUGAAGGUUUUAGGAUUUUAAACCCCUUUUGUUAGAGAAGUUUAUGACGGUAUCUAACGAAUAUGCACUGGCCAACUCCGUGCCAGCAGCCGCGGUAAUACGGAGGGUGCAACGGUUACUCGGAAUCACUGGGCGUAAAGGGGGCGUAGGCGGGGUAAUAAGUCAGAUGUGAAAUCCUGUAGCUUAACUACAGAACUGCAUUUGAAACUGUUACUCUGGAGUGUGGGAGAGGUAGGUGGAAUUCUUGGUGUAGGGGUGAAAUCCGUAGAGAUCAAGAGGAAUACUCAUUGCGAAGGCGACCUACUGGAACAUUACUGACGCUGAUGCACGAAAGCGUGGGGAGCAAACAGGAUUAGAUACCCUAGUAGUC